GAUGAACGCUGGCGGCGUGCCUAAUACAUGCAAGUCGAGCGAACGGACGAAAAGCUUGCUUCUCUGAUGUUAGCGGCGGACGGGUGAGUAACACGUGGAUAACCUACCUAUAAGACUGGGAUAACUUCGGGAAACCGGAGCUAAUACCGGAUAAUAUUUUGAACCGCAUGGUUCAAAAGUGAAAGACGGUCUUGCUGUCACUUAUAGAUGGAUCCGCGCUGCAUUAGCUAGUUGGUAAGGUAACGGCUUACCAAGGCAACGAUGCAUAGCCGACCUGAGAGGGUGAUCGGCCACACUGGAACUGAGACACGGUCCAGACUCCUACGGGAGGCAGCAGUAGGGAAUCUUCCGCAAUGGGCGAAGGCCUGACGGAGCAACGCCGCGUGAGUGAUGAAGGUCUUCGGAUCGUAAAACUCUGUUAUUAGGGAAGAACAUAUGUGUAAGUAACUGUGCACAUCUUGACGGUACCUAAUCAGAAAGCCACGGCUAACUACGUG
rnacentral:rRNA from 1 species